AUUCUGUUCUGUCUACUCCACCCACCUAUGUUCUGACCUAUCAGACCAAGCAGUUACUUUCUUAAUUAACCAAUGAAACAACAGAUAGAUAUAAACACUCCUACAUCACUAAUCAAUGUGGCAAGUAAAGUCUAUAGUGAGGACUUAUUUUCACAAUGCUGUAGCAAAUACAAUAUCUGUAUUUGAGUACUCAGAGUACGCAGGCAUGCCUGGUCCAGGACCAUAGUAACACCACCUCAGAGGAUUCGACCAGUUGAAUUUCUGAUGUUAUAUUGAUAUGUCCCUUAUGGGUGACCAUUUUGGUUUUACCUGAUGUUCUGUAAUAGCUUUAAGCAGGAAUAAUGCUAUUAAAAUAUAUGGUUUUUAUUCUCUACAUUAUGAAAAGCUGAUGUGUUACUUGGUUUUCUUUGGAUUUCUCUUUGAUGGAACACUCAGUAGGGGAAAGUUACUAAUCCAUAGAAAUCUCUGAUCUUUGGACAACUAAUAUUCAGUAUGGAUUAUUUCUUUUGAAAAUCACAUAAGGAAUUCUUUUUUAUAAUUUUACUAAUCUCUUGUACCAAGGUAGGGGUUGCAUUAGAAAAUGUCAAUAAGUAUGUUGUCUAGCUUGGCAUUGUUUUCCAAAUUUCUAUCAACUAUCCAUGACUGACAAGUACAGAGACACCAUAUGUCUGAUUUCUCAAAAUUAUUAUUUACUCCAUUAUUUAAUCAUCAUUGUUUUAAUCUAUAGUCAUUAAUAAGAUGAAUGUAUUAUAUUGUUGUCAAUACUGUUAGUACUGUUUUGUUUUUUAAUAUACACAAGUAUUUGUUGCCCUUUGAAAAUAACUCAUGAUAUUUGUUCUCAGGCAAUUCUACCUAUCCCAAUUACUUGGGAAGCCACUUUCAAAAUGUUCACUACCAGCACAGAGUUUGGAGUACUUAAUUUGAACCCAGUUUAAUAAAAAUGCUUAAACUACUUUACUAAAUAGUUUUAGCCCAGUUUAGUAACGGUCCUUUACAAAGCAAGUGUUUGGUGUCAGAAAGAGGAAAUACCUAGAUUAUUUACCCGGAGGAUUCAUAUGAACGCUACUCAAGAGUAUAUGUCUAACGCAACAGGCAAUGAGAAAACUAUUAACCUCAGUCUGUUCUAAAAAUGUUGAUAAUUUCACAUUCUUCACAUAUUUGCAUUGACUCAUAUUGGGAUAAUUUUCUAUGACUAUUUCACUAAUGACUUCUAAUAUGUUGAUACUUAUUUCUGCUAGCCACGAUAUAAACUAGUCCCCUCAAAUCCCUUCCAUGAACCAUUGCCAGCUCCACAUUCCUGCAUGUGGUAGUUUUGCUUUUGCUUUCUCUGAUCUGAUACAAGCGGCUAAGUGGUUCUGGAAAUGCAUUUUGAGUGAAUUUGGAAUGUGAGACCUUCCCAGAUUCUUUUGUAUUUUGUCAAGCAUGGCAACAUGCUGAUUGGUGCUCCCAACUGCUUGUGUCCUUGAAAACUAUAAUGAGAAGACAUCCCUGACAGUACCCAGUGGACAUAAAUUAUGAUUCAGACUAUCCUAACUGAUAUAUAAAAUACACCAAUCAGGUAAGGAGUUUUGUGAACACUUCUAAAAUAUGAUUAAAAUAUGAUUAUUUAAAAACCUCAAAAUGAAUUUUUUUCCUGCUUAGACAAAGAUAACCAGGAAGAUAGUGAUAAAAUAAUCAUUCUAAAAAUGUUUUUUAAAGUGUUGGGGGUAGUUCCAGAUGAUGUUUUCAUAAGGAAUCUCUCAUAUUUUUUAAAAGAAGCCUAUACACCUGUAUUCAGUGAUUCCUAAUGAUGUAGGAAAAAAAAUUCACACCAGCAUGGUACUGCCACGGAUUCAGGAACUGUUUUCAAGGAUGUUCCUAGAACAGAAAUUUUACAAGACUGAGAUGUCUCCCUCCUGCAAGAGGGCACAUUUGUUUGUGUCUAAUACUGUUCUGUUUCUCUGUGAAGAAAAUGGCAGGUGGCUUUGUUUGCAGCCCCUAAUAAAAGACUGAGAUUUCCCAAGACCAUGUGUGAUGCUCACAUUGUAGACUCUUUCUGGAAUAAACAGACACCAGUGAGAGGAGGUGCCACAGGUGGAUCAACGCCAGGCAGCUCCCAAAGCUUUGAUGACAGUGUGACAGGCUGAUUUGUUUGCAGGUGAGAUUGUUAAUUUUGACUAACUUAUUUGAGUUGAGUAGAGCCAGGAGCUAAUGAAAAUAGCCCUUAUUUAGGAAGCCCAUCUAAAUAAUCUAAAUGGUAACUAAAUAAAAUAUUCAGAUGGUGACUAAUACAAAUUUUAACAGGUGACACAAUACCUCACACGAAAUAUCAAAUAUUUCAUGAAGUUCACAUUUUCUCCUGUUUCAAAGUAUUCUUAGGAGACCUUGACUAAUUGUAUUUUCUUUAAUUAAAAAUAGAUAUUUGUACUAUAUGUACAAAAACAUCAAAACAUCUAUCUUCAAUAUCAACAGUCAAGUGAUUUCUUUUGACUUUAGAUGGUAAAUCAUAGGUACAGUAUAUUUUAGUUGAUAUUCCGUACCCAGGCAAUAUAUCUUCAAAGUCCAUAAUUUUAAAUUAUUGAACAUUUCUUUCAAAUAUCAUGAGUUCUGAUUUUCUGUGAUUGAAUUUAGUCCUAAGAACCCAAGAAAGCUAAUCUAGGGUCCUUAAUAGUACAAUUAAAAUCUUACAAUUCAAAUUCAUUUGAAUAUAUCUAUUGCUGACAUAAAUCUUAAUUGGAAAGCAAUUCUGAAAAUAAAUUAAUGUAUUUUUGUUAUUUUUCUGGUCAAUUCUUAGUUAAGAUCCCAGGCUUUUGGUUUGUUUUCUUGAUUAUUAAACUUGUCACAUAUUAUGCAGUAGGUUUUCAACUCUUACACAAUUAAAAGAUAAGUUGAUGAGGUCCUCAAAAUAUGAAUUGUGCUGAAUAAGUGUUCUGUGAUUUCUGUUUUAUUAUAUAACCCAGGGUCAGCCAGUUUUAGAAAAAGAAAGUCAUAUUUUACUACUGAGGAAAUCACAUCUACUUAAAGGAUAAAAAAUGACCACAUUCAGCGUGGAUAUAAUGGAAGUCGGAGCUGCUGUGUCCAACCUAUUUGCCUCUGAGUUAAGGGGAGGAAAGUUAUUUAUGGGUCCAGUGCACGGAUACUGCAUUAAGAAUUGGUCAUUUGAUUUAAACUUGUGACCUUUCCGAGUGGCGCAUUAGAUGUGUUUGCUUGUGUAUUUUCUCUAAUUAAAAUCUUAUUUCUAUAAUGUGAAUGGUGACAUAUAAUAUUUUUAGGAAAAUCAGAAUCUUAGAAAUAGUGGAGGUAAACAAAGUUAUUCUAAUUGCUUAUAAUCGAUCUCAUUUCUUCCUGACUUAUAUAAAACCCUUGAGCACCAUGAAUGUCAAAAUACGUCUUUCCAUUUCUAAAUAAAACCAGCAUUUUUCAUCUUUUCUUGUUCUGUUCAUUGUAAUUAA